CAGUUGCGCAAGGUACGGGCAUUGCCCUGGAACACACUGAGGGAGUGCAGACUCCUGCUGAAAGGCUUCUUUCACAGCCCCCUGAGCUUGAGGUCUUUGCGCCCGCAACUCCUCUCCCCCCGAACUCUCUCCCAAACUGCCAGUAGACGGAAGAAAAGCUCGCUGUGCGCCUUUUCUGCUUAGACUCUUGCCCCGCCCUUCCUUCCUUCCCUCUCUCCCUUCUUCGGUGAAGGAUACAGGGGCCCCUGUAUUCGUCGUUGUCCUAGGUACCCCACAAAGACAACGCCACCCCUUCUUAAACCAUGUCGAGCCCCGUCAAGCCCACGACGUCCGCCUCGGACAACCUCUUCAAGUCACUGGAGAGGGACUUUGAGGAGGCCAUGCGCGCCUUGGAGGGCGAGGAGUCCUUGGGACACUUUCGCCUCGAGUACGAUAAGUUAUACCGCGCCCUCAAGAAGAGUCACGCCUCCGAAAAUGAGAUUGCCACACAAUGCCAGCAGCUGACGCAGGAGCUGCUUUCUAACGCUGCCAAGAUGCAAGCGGCAGUGAAGCUCGCGCAGGGCGACCACAGCACCAUCGAGUCGCUUAAAAAGGAGAUCGAGAAGGCGUGGCGCGCCGUGGACGUGGCGAACGAGAAGGAUCAGCGCGCGCGCGAGAUGGUGAAGACGCUUAAGCAGGAAAUUCAGUCCUUGCAGAGCAUGAUCCACGAUGGCACCUCUCUGUCUACCGACCACACGUCGACGCUGGAGCAGCUCAAGAUCGACAACAAGCGUCUCCUGACAGAGAGUGAGGAUAUGACGAAGCAGAUGGAUACCUACACGAAGGAGAUGGCGGAGCGGACUGCAACUCUAGCGGCAUUGAAGACGUCGACGGAGGAGGCUGUGCAGGAGCGUAAGUUGUUGGCAAGCCGCCUGGAGCUGGUGCGGCAGGAGUACAACCGUGAGCGCAAUGCGCGCGAGCGAGCCGAGUAUCAGUGCUGCGAGCUUCUAUUGACGCUCAAGACGCGUGAAAAGGCGCUACAGGAGCGGCAAGAGCGCCUCACCUUGAUUCAUGCGCAUGCAGAGACACACAAGGCGGAGCUAGAAAAGCAGCAGCGCCGACGGCAGGCACUACAGCAGCAGCUUGAAACAGCCGAGAAGCAGCUCUACCACACAAAGCAGUCGUACAACGACAGCGUCGACACCACCGUCGAGCUGAACGAGCGACUGCACGCGAUGGAGAAGCAGAUUGCGGCCACUGGGAAGACGAUCCUCGAGACGCGUGACGAGUGCGCGCGAGUCACUCGCGUCGAGGAGCGCGACUUUCGCGAGUUCGACCGCCUCAAACAGCAAAUCGACAACAUUCGAAAAGACGAGGACCGAAUCGCGUACGAGGAGGAGACGGUGCGCAAACGCAUCGCUGCGGUGAAGCAGGAGACGCGGAGUCUGCAGGAGGCGCUGGAGCUGCUCGAACGGGAGUGCAGUGCCCUGGAGAAGAAGGGCGCCAGGGAGGAGUCUCUGCAGACCGCCACGCAAGCGCUCGUUCAGAACGAGCUCGCUCAGCAAGCGGAGCUGGAGGCAAGCAUCUCGCAAGAGACCGAAAUCGGGCGCCGUCUCCGAGACACGUUGCAGCGUUUGGAGAAAGAGCGGGAGAACUGUGUGAACGAGGUGUCGCAGAUGAGCGGGCAAAGCAAAAGCGCUUCAGAGGAGCUCAAGAUGGCAGUCUUUCAAGUUGAGGAGGUGCAGCGGAAGCUGGACGAGAGCGAGCGUCGUCUGACGCAGCAGCAGGCCAAGUACGAGCACAUGCGGGCAGAGCGAAACCAGCUAUCGAAACGUCUCGUCGACGCUCAGGAUGAGAUUGUCGAGUACCGACAACGGGUGAAGGUGGUGGAUCAUCAGGUACAUCAGUUCAAGGAGGAGCUGGCGCUGAAGGCGCGCAAGUGUCAGAGCGACAAAUCGCAAUACAAGAUUAGCAAGGAGCGCCUCAUGAAGGCACGCCAGCUCGUCAACGACAGCACGGCUAGCUUCGACGCAACGAUGGAGGAGGGGGAGCGUGUGGGGCAGGAGAUCAAGCAGCUGCUGAAGGUGGUGCAGGAAUGCGACAAGGGCCUCUGCGGACAGCAGCGAGAAUUUAUGAAGAUGAGCAACGAGCGCGAUACCCUCGCCGCACAGCUGACUCGCCGCAACGACGAACUUGCCCUACUGUACCAGCAGCUGCAACUGAUACAGGACACCGUCAACGCCGGCGAGGCGGCGUACCGCGACCGACUUGAUGACCUGCGCCUCCUCCACCUCAAGUUGCGAGAAAUUCAGCAUCAGUCUAUGCUGGCGCAGGUGCGCGGAGGUGAAGUGUCCACCGCGAAGAAGCGGUUGCGAGCCAAGCAGAAAGAGGUGCUGCUGGAGCAGGCCCAGGUGGCCGCCCUCGCCGAGGAGCUCGAGAAUCCGCAGAACGAGUCGCGCUGGCGACGCGUUGGCGGUAAUUAUCCGUCCAUGGCGGAGCUGGAGUCGAAGAUGAAGCUGCUGCAGCGCGACCUCCUCACCAAGUCUGAGGAGUGCAUGAAGCAGGAAAUGGCACUCGAGGAGAAGCAGCGGCUAAUGAUGGAGAUGCAUGCCAUGGCUGCGCGUCAGCCGGGCCCGGAGGUGGCACAGCAACUGAACGCCUACCAGAAGGACUUGCAAAAGAAGAAUGCGCAGAUGAAGCAGAAGGCAUCGGAACUCAACAUGACGGCGACACACAAGGCUGAGUUACGGUACGAGGUGGCGCGCCUGCGUCGUGCAGUCGACGAAAUGCGCCAGAAGUACUACGAGGUGAAAGUGAAGAACGGGACCUUCUCGGCAGCCGAGCUCGUUUCUGCUUCGUAGUCCAUGGUUGUGUACGAUAGAUGGAUGAACUCUGCUUGCCUGUUAUCAAAGACGCACCUGCCAGGGUGAGUCCGUGCUCUGCGUGUGAAGAUUCAUGGCUACUCUCUCGUUUCCUGUGGUCGUUCCUAUAUAUCUGUGCUUGCUAUUACACGGCAGCUUUGGAUGCGCUGCUCUGGAGUCUGUCGCUGCGUGAGUGCAGGUGUGUGCGCGUGUAUUUUUUCCCCCUGUUGCUGUUAGGACAAGUGUCCUUGUGCCUGCUUGCUUCCUCCAUGUACAUUACCAAAGCCAAGCCGCCGAUGCCUUCUCUUCUACGGCGUGCGGCCGACUUGCGCCUCUUCUUUUGUUUAUCGUCUGACGCAUACGUCCGUCUUCUUCUCUCCGCAGCGAUGGACGACUAUGUGCGCCGCACGCACACCC
rnacentral:misc_RNA from 1 species